rnacentral:lncRNA from 1 species
CUUUUAAUGCUCACAUAAUUACUGCAUGAGAUACAUACCUUAUUUUCCUCAUUGAAUGUUAUAAGGCAGAUCUUGGAAAACUUCAGUCAGAGAGAGGUUUGGAAACUUGUUCAAGGUCACAUGGCUAUGUGGGUGUUGUAUAUGGGCUAUGAUCUCAGGCAGCUGACUCCAGAGCUGUGCAUUUAACCAUUACAACAUUCUGACUGUUCAGGCUCUGUUGAUGCAAUGGUUGGGGAGCUUAAACUGGCAUGCUUUAGCAUAUCAGUGUUUCAUAAAAGCACAAUUCUAGUAAACACAAUAUAAAUGCUUUUGAUUUUAGCCACAUCUACUUAAUUUGCCUUUAGAGCUAAAAGAGUGAAGAAUAUUGCAUUGAUGGCACAGAAUAUCUGCUCUAAGGAGAGUGUGGAUGGACAGGCCACACAUAGCUGUCGCUCCUUUGAUUUGUACAGAAUGUGAAACGCAUGGAGGCUUAUUAAAAUUGGGAACACCAGAAACAGCUACAAGAAUCUGCGUGGAAAAUGAAGUGAUCUGCUGGCCAAUGUCUAAACGUGGAAAAGUGGGGGUGACCAGCUGAUCAUCAACAACACGUUUGUUAACACCUCCCCUCUUUUCUCCGGUGGUGAAUGGUGGGGGCACAGAUAAAAGGGAAAGUGGGUGCGGAAGAUGAAAACAAAGGCAACCAGGGCCACAGAACUGGUUCUGGGCUGUUUACCACCCCUGGAGAGGGGUGUGGUUCCGGGAGGGCUCCAUGACACCUCUCCUCUCUGUUCCCACAGCCCUCAGGCUCCCCCCUCCUCCUUCCCAGGUGCCACCUCCCUUUCCUAGCACCACCUGGGCCUCCACAGCUGGACGCACAGCGCCCCUCCUGGUUUGGCUGCUUUCUCGCCUCGAUCCCUGAGCGCCAGUCAUAUGCGGGGUGGGUUUGGGUUCCUCUGGCACAGUGCUCCUCUCACCUCCCCUCCCCUUCUGGCUCCAUCCUCCCGCCAGAGCCCAGCUGCUGCAGGCUGCGCUGUCACCCUGGG